CCCCAAAUUUCCCCCCUUGAAAUCCCUAAUCUUCCCAUGGCCGACAAAUAUUUUCUAUGAGAAAAUAUUUGAUUCUCCCUCCAUCUUCCAAUCUUUUUAGUUCCCUUCCCAUUACAAAUCAGUUUUCCAUUCCAAACCCUAACAAACGUUUAACAAAAAAGCACCCCUUCUUCAUCGUUUUCUCUACUUAUUGAAACUUCUUCAUCACUUUCUGAGCUCUGCAACAGCAAUGAACGACUACGAUUACAACAAGGAAACCAAGGGAGUGGGCCCUGUUUCAUUCAACUACAUUUUUUAUUUUAUCUUUUCACCUGAAGAAGUUGUUCAUCUUAAAGUUACCGCUAAUAUAAUUUAACACCAAUUGCAGUGGCGGCUUCCAAUCAGGGAAACACCCGCAUGUUUAAAAGAUUCCUUGUUCGAUGCUCAAAACCCAGACGGCCAAUAUAAUUAUUAACUCCACUCGAAGCGAAAUAUGGUAAUGGUUUGCUAUUAUAAUCACUUACUGACGCCUGUUGGUGGGGUACGAGUUCCGAUUGCCAAGCCUUCCAUUUUGAGAGCCGAGACCAACAACCCCAUGGCUUCUGAUCUCUCCUCUGACCGCUUCGUCUUCUGUGGCGUCUCCUCCUCUUCUCCUAUCCGCUGCCGUGAUCUAGUUUUCAUCAUCAAUCCUUGAGGGGAUUUGGAGGAGCAGGUGCUAAUGGGAGAACCGGUAAAGAGUGGAAGAAACUGCUUCCUUAUCUUCAAUCUUGCCUCGGUAGUAAUUGUAAUAUAUGUGAAUCUUUGACUUCGGGUCCUUCUCAUGCAACUGACAUUACUAGGGAGUUUCACCCCACAAGUUGAAGGAAUGUUUGCCACUUAUUCUUAUUCUGCGAAACAAACUGGAGUAUGCUUUGACAUACAAAGAAGUGAUUGCUAUUCUUAUGCAAAGGCAUGUAUGGUAGAUGGGAAGGUUAGGAUUGAUAAGACCUACCCUGCAGGUUUUAUGGGGCGCACAUGGUUUCAUGAGGACACAUAAAUGGCGUGAUUCCAUAGGAGCUUUUAUAAAUGUGGAAGCAUCUGGGACAGGAGGUCCUGGUUCUUGGCCUUCUUCCGUCUAUGCUCAAUCAGCAAUUUAUCCCAUGGCACAUAGUGUAGCCCAGGGAAGAGAAUUAAUCAUUGCAGAGAAAAUAAAUUAUCUGGUUUUUAUGAUCAAUGCUUUUCAGAUGGGGGUUGGAGAAUACGAUCAAAGGGAAAACAUCAGAUAUGGUGAUUCCCAGCCAAGAAGUGGCUUCUUAGGCACCCAACAUUUUGCACAACCAAAUAUGACCAGAACUUCUAAACCUACAUGUUGAGGAUUCACACUCAAGGAGCAAGAAACAUCUCAGCAACUCAUUGGGAUCGAGCAGUCAAAAUUCAGAAUCAAGUGACACACAAGAGCUAGAUUUGGAGCUUAGACUGUCACUGUAAUCAGUAACUUUUUUUGCUACUUUAAAUGCAUGCUCAUGGAACUACAUUUUAUGCUUUCUUAGAAUCGUAAGUUCAAAUAAGGUGUUGAUCUGCAAUUUAUACAUGCAACUUGAGCAAGUUGAUAUGAACUAGUUUAAUUUUUUUUUAAAUUUCAAAGGAAUCUUAUGUAAUCAAAGGCAAUUUGACUUGCUGCAUGAGAUAUAGUGAAAAACAUUGAUCUUCUUGUU